UGAGGAGAGACAGACAGGUCAGCUGACAGACAGACAGACAGCAUCUUCAGCCAUAUCUGAGGAGAGACAGACAGGUCAGCUGACAGUCAGACACCAUCUUCAGCCAUAUCUGAGGAGAGACAGACAGGUCAGCUGACAGACAGACAGACAGCAUCUUCAGCCAUAUCUGAGGAGAGACAGACAGGUCAGCUGACAGUCAGACACCAUCUUCAGCCAUAUCUGAGGAGAGACAGACAGGUCAGCUGACAGACAGACAGACAGCAUCUUCAGCCAUAUCUGAGGAGAGACAGACAGGUUAGCUGACAGACAGACAGACAGACACCAUCUUCAGACAUAUCUGAGGAGAGACAGACAGGUCAGCUGAAAGACAGACAGCAUCUUCCAUCUGUUAUAAGCUUGUUAAUUAAUUUACUGCUAACUGGUAACACGUGUUGUUAUUUAGUUUCUUGGUUGGUUGGUUAGUUAGUUAGUUAGUUAGUUAGUUAGUUGGUUGGUUGGUUGGUUGGUUGGUUGGUUAGUUAGUUAGUUAGUUAGUUAGUUAGUUAGUUAGUUAGUUAGUUAGUUGGUUGGUUGGUUGGUUGGUUGGUUGGUUAGUUAGUUAGUUAGUUAGUUAGUUGGUUAGUUAGUAGCUGAUAUUUGUUAACUAGUUGGUACCGUUGGCUUGUUAGUUAACUGGUUUGCCGGACAUUGACUCGUCAGUUAUUUCUUGGCAACCUGGUUUAGCUUGUUAGUUAGGCU